rnacentral:rRNA from 1 species
CCUACGGGAGGCAGCAGUGAGGAAUAUUGGUCCAUGGGCGAGAGCCUGAACCAGCCAAGUCGCGUGAGGGAAGACGGUCCUAUGGAUUGUAAACCUCUUUUGCCGGGGAGCAAAAAGCGGUACGUGUACCGCAUCGCGAGUCCCCGGAGAAACAGCAUCGGCUAACUCCGUGCCAGCAGCCGCGGUCAUACGGAGGAUGCGAGCGUUAUCCGGAUUUCUUGGGUUUAAAGGGUGCGCAGGCGGCGAGUUAAGUCAGCGGUAAAAUUUCGGGGCUCAACCCCGACAAGCCGUUGAAACGGGCUUGCUAGAGUAGGCGAGAAGUAUGCGGAAUGCGUGGUGUAGCGGUGAAAUGCAUAGAUAUCACGCAGAACUCCGAUGGCGAAGGCAGCAUACCGGCGCCCAACUGACGCUCAGGCACGAAAGCGUGGGUAUCGAACAGGAGUAGAUACCCGGGUAGUC